AACGGAAAGGCGCCACGCUCGUGAGGGGAACCAGAGUUCCGGGGGCGCGUAGUGUGGGCAGGCAGGAAGCCUGGCUCCACUAGGACACACAGAUUCUCUCCUGAGCAGCUGUGAACUAUGCGCCCCUUCUACUCAAGAGAUGGAUUGGGAGUCCAACAGACGCAGCCAUUGCUCAGACCCCAGCCCUUCUCUCCUAUAAGAAGCAGGUUCACCUCUGCCACCGCACUCCCAUUUUUUUUUUUUUUUUAAGCCCGGCCUUUCCUAGGCGGGGUCAAGGGCCCCGCCCACCGAAGCCACGCCCAUAAGCCGCCCCGGGGCGGGGCUCCCCUCGGCUCCCGGCUGCCCUUUCCCCUCCGGCCUCUGCCAGUGCUGCUGCGCCCUGCGGAGCUCCGAACACGUGCGCAGAGGCCAGCUGUGGCAGAUGCAACUGCAGGAUGACUUGAAAGUAGGGCAUCCUUCACCCAUCUGAAGAGAGGAAAUAGUGGCAGGUGACAGUCUGCAUGUGCAGUUUUCAGAUGCCUUCACCUGAAUAUCAUCUACCCGCAUCACGACCCCAGAUGUCUGACAGCCCUGUGUGACACCAAGAUAAGUAAUAUAUGUAGUCUUCUUGUCACGUAGGUUCCAAUUAAAUUACUGCAGCUCAGACGGGGGUAGGGUACUUAAAAUUAUGAUUUGAAAAAUUAUGUAGAGUAUCAGAAUUUUUUUUUCUUUUUUUUUUUUUUUUCUUUUUUUUGAGAUGGAGUCUUGCUCUGUUGC